rnacentral:rRNA from 1 species
UUGGAGGGCAAGUCUGGUGCCAGCAGCCGCGGUAAUUCCAGCUCCAAUAGCGUAUAUUAAAGUUGUUGCAGUUAAAAAGCUCGUAGUUGAAUUUCGGGGUCAGUAGGUUGGUCAUGCCACUGGUAUGUACUGGCUUCACUGAUUCCUCCUUCCUGAUGAGCCGUAAUGCCAUUAAUUUGGUGUUGCGAGGAAUCUGGACUGUUACUUUGAAAAAAUUAGAGUGUUUAAAGCAGGCUAACGCUUGAAUACAUUAGCAUGGAAUAAUGAAAUAGGACGUUCGAUCUUAUUUUGUUGGUUUCUAAGAUUGACGUAAUGAUUAAUAGGGAUAGUUGGGGGCAUUAGUAUUCAAUUGUCAGAGGUGAAAUUCUUGGAUUUAUUGAAGACUAACUACUGCGAAAGCAUUUGCCAAGGAUGUUUUCAUUAAUCAAGAACGAAAGUUAGGGGAUCGAAGACGAUCAGAUACCGUCGUAGUCUUAACCAUAAACUAUGCCGACUAGGGAUCGGACGAUGUUAAAUUUUAUUGACUCGUUCGGCGCCUUACGGGAAACCAAAGUGUUUGGGUUC